rnacentral:lncRNA from 1 species
GAUAUCACCACUGACCCCACAGAAAUACAAACAACCAUUAGGGAAUACUAUAAACACCUCUAUGCACAUAAACUAGAAAAUCUAGAAGAAAUGGAUAAAUUCCUGGACACAUAUAUCCUCCCAAGACUGAACCAGGAAGAAGUUGAAUCCCUGAAUAGACCAAUAACAAGUUCUGAAAAUGAGGCAGUAAUAAAUAACCUACCAACCAAAAAAAAAGCCCAAGACCAGACAGAU